GCCCGGGUGGUGGAACAGGUAGACACAAGGGACUUAAAAUCCCUUAGCCUUAUGGCUGUGCGGGUUCGACUCCCGCUCCGGGCACCA
rnacentral:tRNA from 1 species